CCUCCUUACCAUUACGUCGAAAGACGCACUUGAUGCAGUGCCUACACAGAUAGUCUUGUUUAUAUUUAAAGAUGACUUAAAUAAAAGCCCUUAGCUUUGAUUUAAGAUCAAACCUAAGUGUUUUGAAUUAAGCACUAUGCUCUUUAACAAUUUGGGAAAGCUGAUAUUAAUAGUAAUCAAUCAAAAUUGAGUAACUGAUAAGUCUAAAGACGUACUUUUUACUCUACUUGACUUUGAAUUGCCUUGUUAUCAACAUUGAUUGAUAUCCAAGGGCCAAUUCUUCCCGAUUUAGCUUUGUUCUUGCAUUACGAACAUUUAAACCCUUUGUUCCAUUUUCUAAAAAAGGUUGGAUCAUUGAUGGCCGUAUCCCUCAAGGC
rnacentral:misc_RNA from 1 species